GACGAACGCCGGCGGCGUGCUUAACACAUGCAAGUCGAACGGAAAGGCCCUGCUUUUGUGGGGUGCUCGAGUGGCGAACGGGUGAGUAACACGUGAGUAACCUGCCCUUGACUUUGGGAUAACUUCAGGAAACUGGGGCUAAUACCGGAUAGGAGCUCCUGCUGCAUGGUGGGGGUUGGAAAGUUUCGGCGGUUGGGGAUGGACUCGCGGCUUAUCAGCUUGUUGGUGGGGUAGUGGCUUACCAAGGCUUUGACGGGUAGCCGGCCUGAGAGGGUGACCGGCCACAUUGGGACUGAGAUACGGCCCAGACUCCUACGGGAGGCAGCAGUGGGGAAUAUUGCACAAUGGGCGGAAGCCUGAUGCAGCAACGCCGCGUGCGGGAUGACGGCCUUCGGGUUGUAAACCGCUUUCGCCUGUGACGAAGCGUGAGUGACGGUAAUGGGUAAAGAAGCACCGGCUAACUACGUGCCAGCAGCCGCGGUGAUACGUAGGGUGCGAGCGUUGUCCGGAUUUAUUGGGCGUAAAGGGCUCGUAGGUGGUUGAUCGCGUCGGAAGUGUAAUCUUGGGGCUUAACCCUGAGCGUGCUUUCGAUACGGGUUGACUUGAGGAAGGUAGGGGAGAAUGGAAUUCCUGGUGGAGCGGUGGAAUGCGCAGAUAUCAGGAGGAACACCAGUGGCGAAGGCGGUUCUCUGGGCCUUUCCUGACGCUGAGGAGCGAAAGCGUGGGGAGCGAACAGGCUUAGAUACCCUGGUAGUCCACGCUGUAAACGGUGGGUACUAGGUGUGGGGUCCAUUCCACGGGUUCCGUGCCGUAGCUAACGCUUUAAGUACCCCGCCUGGGGAGUACGGCCGCAAGGCUAAAACUCAAAGGAAUUGACGGGGCCCCGCACAAGCGGCGGAGCAUGCGGAUUAAUUCGAUGCAACGCGUAGAACCUUACCUGGGUUUGACAUGGAUCGGGAGCGCUCAGAGAUGGGUGUGCCUCUUUUGGGGUCGGUUCACAGGUGGUGCAUGGCUGUCGUCAGCUCGUGUCGUGAGAUGUUGGGUUAAGUCCCGCAACGAGCGCAACCCUUGUUCACUGUUGCCAGCACGUUAUGGUGGGGACUCAGUGGAGACCGCCGGGGUCAACUCGGAGGAAGGUGGGGAUGACGUCAAGUCAUCAUGCCCCUUAUGUCCAGGGCUUCACGCAUGCUACAAUGGCUGGUACAGAGAGUGGCGAGCCUGUGAGGGUGAGCGAAUCUCGGAAAGCCGGUCUCAGUUCGGAUUGGGGUCUGCAACUCGACCUCAUGAAGUCGGAGUCGCUAGUUAUCGCAGAUCAGCAACGCUGCGGUGAAUACGUUCCCGGGGCU
rnacentral:rRNA from 1 species